rnacentral:rRNA from 1 species
GACAGAGGGUGCAAACGUUGCUCGGAAUCACUGGGCGUAAAGGGCGUGUAGGCGGGAAGGAAAGUCAGAUGUGAAAUCCCUGGGCUCAACCCAGGAACUGCAUUUGAAACUCCCUUUCUUGAGUGUCGGAGAGGAAAGUGGAAUUCCUGGUGUAGAGGUGAAAUUCGCAGAUAUCAGGAGGAACACCGAUUGCGAAGGCAGCUCGCUGGGACGUUACUGACGCUGAGACGCGAAAGCGUGGGGAGCAAACAGG